ensembl:snRNA U6 U6 spliceosomal RNA
GUGUUGCCGGUAUCACAUCUACUAAAAUUGGAACGAUACAGAGAAGAUUAGCAUGGCCCCUGUGGUGGGGGAUGACACGCUGCAAAUUGACGGAAGCGUUCUAUCUUUUA